UACAGAGGGUGCGAGCGUUAAUCGGAAUUACUGGGCGUAAAGCGUGCGUAGACGGCUAUCUAAGUCGGGUGUGAAAGCCCCGGGCUCAACCUGGGAAUUGCAUUCGAGACUGAAUAGCUAGGGUACGGUAGAGGGAAGCGGAAUUUCCGGUGUAGCGGUGAAAUGCGUAGAUAUGCGGAGGAACACCGAUGGCGAAGGCAAUCCCCUGGGCCUGCACUGACGCUCAUGCACGAAAGCGUGGGGAGCAAACAGG
rnacentral:rRNA from 1 species